rnacentral:rRNA from 1 species
CAGUAGCCGCGGUAAUACGAAGGGUGCAAGCGUUACUCGGAAUUACUGGGCGUAAAGCGUGCGUAGGUGGUGGUUUAAGUCCGUUGUGAAAGCCCUGGGCUCAACCUGGGAAUUGCAGUGGAUACUGGGUCACUAGAGUGUGGUAGAGGAUAGUGGAAUUUCCGGUGUAGCAGUGAAAUGCGUAGAGAUCGGAAGGAACAUCUGUGGCGAAGGCGACUAUCUGGGCCAACACUGACACUGAGGCACGAAAGCGUGGGGAGCAAACAGGAUUAGAUACCCCCGUAGUCCCUGUCACUUAUAC